AUUGAACGCUGGCGGCAGGCCUAACACAUGCAAGUCGGACGGUAGCACAGAGGAGCUUGCUCCUCGGGUGACGAGUGGCGGACGGGUGAGUAAUGUCUGGGGAUCUGCCCGAUAGAGGGGGAUAACCACUGGAAACGGUGGCUAAUACCGCAUAACGUCGCAAGACCAAAGAGGGGGACCUUCGGGCCUCUCACUAUCGGAUGAACCCAGAUGGGAUUAGCUAGUAGGCGGGGUAACGGCCCACCUAGGCGACGAUCCCUAGCUGGUCGGAGAGGAUGACCAGCCACACUGGAACAGAGACACGGGCCAGACUCCUACGGGAGGCAGCAGUGGGGAAUAUUGAACAAUGGGCGCAAGCCUGAUGCAGCCAUGCCGCGUGUAUGAAGAAGGCCUUCGGGUUGUAAAGUACUUUCAGCGGGGAGGAAGGCGAUGUGGUUAAUAACCGCAUUGAUUGACGUUACCCGCAGAAGAAGCACCGGCUAACUCCGUGCCAGCCGCCGCCGUAA
rnacentral:rRNA from 1 species